AAAAGGCAUUUCGGGGUGAAAAUGACAUUUCGAGGUGAAAACAAAGCAUUUUGGGGUGAAAACGACAUUUUGGGGUGAAAACAAGGCUUUUUGAGCUGAAAGUGACAUUUUGAGGUGAAAACAAGGCAUUUUGAGGUGAAAACAAGGCAUUUUGAGAUAAAAAGACAUUUUGAGGUGAAAACAAAUUUUCAGUGAAAAGAUGUUUUGUGGUAAAAACAAGAAGUUUUGGGGUGAAAACAAGGCAUUUUGAUGUGAAAAUGACGUUUUGUGGUGAAAACAAGGCGUUUUGAGCUGAAAGCGACAUUGUGAGGUGAAAACGACGUUUUGAGGUGAAAGCAAGACAUUUUGGGUUAAAAACAACGCAUUUUGUGGUGAAAACAAGAAAUUUUCGGUGAAAAGAUGUUUUGUGGUAAAAACAAGACAUUUUGGGGUGAAAACGAGAUAUUUUGAGGUGAAAACAAGACAUUUUGUGGUGAAAGCCAGGUGUUUUGAGGUGAAAACAAGACAUUUUGAGGUGAAAAAAAAGACAUUUUGUGUUGAAAAGAAGGUAUUUUGAGGUGAAAACAAGGCGUUUUGAGGUGUUAGAGUCCUCCUGGCUCCUGGGGUGCUUCUUAGCUGUGGUUCCUGUCGUGUGGCAGCACCGCAGGGGGAAUAUUCCCCAACCUCCUGACCCUGCAGGAGUUGGUAGCCACGUCCAGCACCCCUCGCCACCGUUGGCUUCCAGAGAGUCCCCUGCUCCGUCCCACAGCUGCCAGGCUGCCUCUCGGCCUAGUGUUUGGAGGGCUUAGAAGACCGCUCUGUGUAUGUUCAGGAGGCCUUAUGCUGCUCCCGAGAAGGAGAGCAGGGCAGUGCGGCUGGACAGGAGCUCUGCUGCCUUUACCCUGCUCCUGCAGUCCCUCCCUGCUCCCAGCGAGGCACUUCGCAGAAUUGCUUUUUUUCCACGAUAAUGAGCAAGAAUGGGGUCCUGGAGCCCUCUGGUGGAUGUCCUGCAGAAGACAGGUAGCUGAAAGCGGUCUGGUUCUGCUAAGGAAGCCUCUGGCAUGGCUUCAGGGGAAUGUUCAGGAACCAUUUUGAUGAAUUCCAAUUAAGAGUCUUCCUGACACCCGGGGACACAGAGGUCAAAGAAUGCCCCGUGCAGCACAGCAACAGACCACAGGGCACACAGCUCAAGUGAGCACAACGAGACUUGCACAGUACAGACAGCGUGUUCCUUAUCUACAGGAUGAGACGAGGCUGUUUUAAUAACUACCAUGAUGAAGAUGGAGAUGAACUUAUAUACAAGAGGAAUUGCCUUCACAUUACACACAUUAUCUUCCUACAAAGCAGCAAUUGUUUUUGCAAAUAACAUAAUAUUAAAUAAUUGGUAGAAUUUUUGCGUUUCCUGCAUAGUCCAGUCUAAUGGAAUCUAUAUGAAUAUUGAUGGUUUUCUUCUGCAUAAUAUCACCACAUAAAUCCCUGUGUCAGCUACUAGACUUUAGCUAUAAUACUGCUUUACAAUGCAUCCACCGACUGUAAAUCAAAACAACCAACACAAGAAACUCUUUGGCAAAUGUAAUUCAGUACAUUCGCAUGGGGGUCUACAGAUGGUGGUGGAAGAGGAUUAGACUGCCCAGUCCUUUGCAUAAUUCUGCUUUCCUUUUAAUUUUCCUGAUCAAACUACUUGUUGUACUUAUGGUCUUUCCAGACCAACCCAAUGCCUGGUGGAAGUCCCCUUUUAUCAGUGGAGUUACACCAACAAUGGAUUUGUCCCUCCGAGGGUCAAAUCAAGCCAGCCGUGAGUGAGCCAACCAAAUCCAGCUUUUGUAUCCUAUCUCGUGUCUCAAGUUUAGCGAAACUUUAUGAAAAUGAGCGUUUCUGAGCUGCUAGCUUCUCUCAAGGUGGCCCCUGGGCUGCAGGUUGCCAAGCGUGACGUGUCACAAUCUCCUUUUCUCGAGCCUCUUCAGAAGGUUCUAGUUGCCAGUACUAGGAUUUACUGCCUCUGCCCCUGAGUGAGACUGGGUGGUGCACAAGUGAAGCAAAGGCUGUACUGAGAGACUAAAGGGGAGACUUUGCUAACAGGGUCCAGCAUCUGUCUGGUGUCUAUGGAGGAAAACAGGAGUGGUAAAGGUAAAUUGUUAGACAUUAUUCAGAAUUUGCUUCUCAUGUAGAAUAAAAUGAGAUAAUGGGCCAAAUUCUGGUCUCAGUGACAGUGAAACAACUCUGCUAUUUGCAGCAGGUUACUCAGAGGUAAGACGUGCAAAGUAACACUUUAAAUAGAUCAGGAGUAACCUCUUUGACUUUAUUCCAUACAGGAACAGAUUUUAGCUCUAUAUCUUCUAUGUAAACAACCCCCCACCCCCAAUACCCUUUUCAUUUGGGCAUCCCAUUAAGGAAGACACAGACCUAUAAUCAGCUAGAGCCAUGCAAGGGCUAAAAGUGUUAGGUGAAAGGGGCCUUUGGGAUCAACACAGCUGUUUACUGAUGAUGGAUUUCAUACAUACAAGUUAAACUUGGAGACAGAAUACUGAGUCCACAACCACAUCUCCUCAGCGGCUGGGAUUUUAUGGAUUUUAUGGAUUUUAUACAUAAUGUUGGCUGUACAGACUGUUCACUUUUAUGCCCUUCGGGGGUUUGAUUCUCAAUCCUGUCUUUGUCCAUGGACAGUAGCCCACUAGUUUUAUCUGAAACCUCUCUAAAACAACAAGGAUCUGCUUUGGCAGACUUGAUGCCCUGGGGACAGGCUAUAGCUGCCUUCAUGUUUUCUUUGAGUAUUUUUUAGGAAGUGUCAGUGCAAGGUACAGUUUAUGAGUUUGCUGACAAUACAGGAGUAAUAAGCAUUUCUAUUGACAGCCUUUUGCAGAACAGUGUUUGCCAGUCACUUGGGAACCAUAACGAGCAGAGAAUCCCUAGAGAAUCAUCAGGUGAGCAUUUGGGAUAAGGGGUAAAUAUUAGGGUGCACAAUAUAGGGCUGAAUAUGAAAAGAUGAGGCUGCAUGUUGGGACUGGCUGGAAGGGUGUGGGCAUAUGGACUUGGAUGUAGGCCUAUAAAUUAUCAAGUGUAUGAGCAUAUGGACUGGAAAUUGACAAGGGCCCAUAUAGCAAGGCAGUUAGGAAAUUAGGUGUUGGGCACAGAUAAUGAGGCAGUUGUCACCAGGCUAUAGGGAUCUGGAGAAUGGGUGUUGGGCAUGUGUAGAACUGCGAAAGUCGGGAUGUGGGUGAGCUGAAGUAGUCAUGGGUACAGGGAUUAAGGUAAAAGGAGAGGAGCCUAAGGGCUAGGGAACCAAGCAAUAAUCCCAGCCAAUCCUGAAUUUGUCCAUCUCAGUCUCAGCUGUCCAGAGGGCAAUCAGAUGGGCCCACGUGAAGCCCCACACUUUCCUUUCCACCACAAAGCGCAGUUAGAGCGCAGCUGGGCUUGUUUUCUUUGUUUGCCAACCAGUGACAUGGAAAACGUUUGUUGACUCAGAGUGCUUUUUUGUCGACUGAUGUGUUUGGUAACUUUGUCGGAUGUGACUUGUCCACACUGCUCCCCAGAGACAGGAUUUGGGGAAGGGGGAGGAGGAGGAGGCGACAGGGGUGGAGCUGGCAUCCAAUCCUCUCCAAUACCACCAUCCCAUUGUAGUGCAAAACAGAAAGGAAACAAAACCCGAGAGUGAAAGAGGAGCGUCAAGCGUCAGAGGAACUGGUCUGCCAUUCAGGUGGUGGGGAGGGAUGGGACUUGG